UGGGGAAUAUUGGACAAUGGGCGGAAGCCUGAUCCAGCAACGCCGCGUGAGGGAUGACGGCCUUCGGGUUGUAGACCUCUUUCAGCACAGACGAAGCGCAAGUGACGGUAUGUGCAGAAGAAGGACCGGCCAACUACGUGCCAGCAGCCGCGGUAAUACGUAGGGUCCGAGCGUUGUCCGGAAUUAUUGGGCGUAAAGGGCUCGUAGGCGGUCUGUCGCGUCGGGAGUGAAAACCAGGUGCUUAACACCUGGCCUGCUUUCGAUACGGGCAGACUAGAGGUACUCAGGGGAGAAUGGAAUUCCUGGUGUAGCGGUGAAAUGCGCAGAUAUCAGGAGGAACACCGGUGGCGAAGGCGGUUCUCUGGGAGUAUCCUGACGCUGAGGAGCGAAAGUGUGGGGAGCGAACAGGAUUAGAUACCCUGGUAGUCCACACCGUAAACGUUGGGCGCUAGGUGUGGGAUCCAUUCCACGGGUUCCGUGCCGCAGCUAACGCAUUAAGCGCCCCGCCUGGGGAGUACGGCCGCAAGGCUAA
rnacentral:rRNA from 1 species